rnacentral:rRNA from 1 species
AACGAACGCUGGCGGCGUGUUUAAGACAUGCAAGUCGCACGGGAUCAUUUUGGUAGCAAUACUCGGAUGGUCCAGUGGCGCACGGGUGAGUAACACGUGAAUGACAUGCCCUUCAGUGGGGGAUAGCCCAGGGAAACUUGGAUUAAUACCCCAUGGUCUCGCGAGAGUAAAGGUGGCGCGAGCUGCCGCUGGAGGAUUGGUUCGCGUUCUAUCAGCUUGUUGGCGGGGUAACGGCCCACCAAGGCUACGACGGAUACCUGGUCUGAGAGGACGAUCAGGCACACAGGAACUGAGACACGGUCCAGACACCUACGGGUGGCAGCAGUCGAGAAUAAUUCACAAUGGGGGCAACCCUGAUGGUGCAACGCCGCGUGGAGGAUGAAGGUCUUCGGAUUGUAAACUCCUGUCAUCCGGGAGCAAGACCUGCCGGUCAAUAGCCGACAGGGUUGAUAGUACCGGAAGAGGAAGGGACGGCUAACUUCGUGCCAGCCGCCGCAGUAA